rnacentral:tRNA from 1 species
GGCCUCGUAGCUCAGCUGGUAGGGCGUGCACGUACAAAGCGUAGGGGCGUCUAUGCAUGGGUUCGAGUCCCAACGAGGCUA